GAAUUUCUUCUUCGCGAUUCAUGUACAAUUUGUAAAUUGUUUGUCUGCGCAUAUAAUGCAUAAGUCGCGAAUCACCUGUGUAGCAUGGCCCCUGCGCAAGGAUGACACGCAAAUUCGUGAAGCGUUCCAAAUUUUU
rnacentral:snRNA from 1 species